UCCAUUUAUCGAUCUCUGUUCUUUGCAUUAGUUGGCAAUGUUUUUUUUGUUAACUCAAUGACAAUACUUUGGGGCCAUGGGUGAAAUCUGUCGACUACCAGAGAUUUGUCGAUUUUUCUUGAGACUUUCUUUGUUUCAUUUUUAAUUCUUCAUAAUUUUGCUGACCUGAUGGAUUGGCGUUUCUUUUCAAAAUUUUAAGCCAAAGAGUAUUCAUGACUCGGUUUUUAAUGUAUCAUUGUUUCCUUUUCAGUUCGUUGUAUUAUUGACUAGACUUGGGGGGCAGGGGUGAAAUCCGUAGAUCCCCAUUAACUGGUCAAUUUUCCUUAUGGUUUUAUAUGUUUGAUUUGAACAUAUCUACUAUUUGUUUAAUCAUUUAGUUGAUGCGUUUUACAAAUUUUAAGCCACAAUGAUAUACGUGGUCGAGAUUUUUAACUUAUCCUUAUUUUUUUCGUGGUUCUUUGCAUUAUCUCGCACUAGGAUAUUCGUAGCUUAAGUGUUUUAAGAUUUCCAUUUAUCGAUCUUUGUUCAUUAUUUUAUUUAGCAAUAGUUUUGUUUUAACUCAAUAAUGAUACUUCGGUGCCUGGGGUGAAAUUCGUCGACCUCUAGAGAUUUGCCGAUUUUCCUGGCGACUUUCUGUAUUUCAUUUUAAAUUACUCAUAAUUUUGCUGACUUUAUGGAUCGGUUUUUCUUUUAAAAUUUUUAUGCCAAAGAAUAUUCAUGAGUAGGUUUUUUUGUAUCAAUGUUUCCUUCUCGGUUCUUUGUAUUAUCGACUCGACAUUGGGGGCAGGGGUGAAAUCUGUAGAUCCCCAUUAACUGGUCAAUUUUCCUUCUGAUUUUCUUUGUUUGAUUUGAAAUUAUCCACAACUUGUUUAAUCUUUUAGUUGAUAUUCUUUUUUAAAAAUUUUAGGUCGAAAAGUAAUUCGUGGUUGAGAUUUUUACCGUAUCGUUUUGUUUGUCAUGGUUCUUUGCAUUGUCUGGCUCUAGGAUAUUCGUGGCCAAGUGUUUUAAAAUUUCCUUUUAUCCAUCUUUUUUCUUUGCAUUAUUUGGCAAUAUUUUGGUUUUAACUCAAUGACAAGACUUUGGGGCCAGAGGUGAUGAAAUCCGUCGACCCCCAGAGAAUUUUCGAAUUUCCUAUAAGCUUUUUUUUUCUUUCAUUUUAAAUUCCUCAUAACUUUGCUGACUUUAUGGAUCAAUGUUUCUUUUCCUAACUGGGUUUUUAAUGUAUCUUUGUUUCCGUCCCAGUUGUUUGUAAUAUUGACUCAACUUUGGUGGCCGAGGUGAAUUCCGUAGAUCCCCAUUUGCUGGUCAAUUUUCCUAAUGAUUUCGUUGUUUUAUUUGGAACUAUCCCCAGUUUGUUUAAUCUUUUAGUUGAUUAAUCUUUUUGAAAAUGUUAGGUCAAAAAGUAAUUCGUGGUUGAGAUUUUUUGCAUAUCUUUUUGCUGGUCGUGGUUCUUUGCAUUGUUUGGGUCUAGGAUAUUCGUGGCUUAGUGUUUUAAAAUUUCCAUUUAUCCGUCUUUGUUAUUUGCAUUAUUUGGCAAUAUUUGGUUUUAACUCAAUGACAAGACUUUGGGGCCAGGGGUGAAAUCUGUCGACCCCCAAGGAUUUGUCGAAUUGCCUAUAGUCUUUUUUUAGUUCAUUUUAAAUUCCUCAUAAUUUUGUUGACUUUAUGGAUCGGUAUUUCUUUUCAAAAUUUUAAGCCAAAGAGUAUUCAUGACUCGGUUUUUAAUGUAUCAUUAUUUCCUUUUUAGUUCUUUGUAUUAUUGACUCGACUUGGGGGGCAGGGGUGAAAUCCAUAGAUCCCCAUUAACUGGUCAAUUUUCCUACUGAUUUUCUAUCUUUGAUUUGAACUUAUCCACUAUUUUUUAAUUUUUUAGCUGAUACUUUUUAAAUAUUUUAAGCCACAAUGAUAUUCGUGGUCGAGAUUUUUAACUUACCCUUUUUUUUGUCGUGGUUCUUUGCAUUGUCUCGCACUAGGAUAUUCGUAGCUUAAGUGUUCUAAGAUCUCCAUUUAUUGAUCUCUGUUCAUUAUUUUAUUUAGCAAUAGUUUUGUUUUAACUCAAUGACGAGCCUGGGGUGAAAUUCGUCGAGCUCCAGAGAUUUGUCGAUUUUUCAGGCGACUUUCUUUAUUUCAUUUUAAAUUACUCAUAAUUUUGCUGACUUUAUGGAUCGGUGUUUCUUUUAAAAUUUUUGAGCCAAAGAGUAUUCAUUACUAGGUUUUUAUUGUAUCAUUGUUUCCUUCUCGGUUCUUUGUAUUAUUGACUCGACUUUGGGGGCAGGGGUGAAAUCCGUAGAUCCCCAUUAACUGGUCAACUUUCCUUCUAAUUUUCUUUGUUUGAUUUGAAAUUAUCCACAAUUUGUUUAAUCUUUUAGUUGAUAUUCAUUUUUAAAAAUUUUAGGUCAAAAAGUAAUUCGUGGUCGAGAUUUUUAACGUACCAUUUUGUUGGUCACGGUUCUUUGCAUUAUCUGGCUCUAGGAUAUUUGUGGCUAAGUGUUUUAAAAUUUCCUUUUAUCCAUCCUUUUUCUUUGCAUUAUUUGGUUUGUGAUUACUGCAUGUUGGAUGCUGUGUAAUGUUAUUGUUGUUGUUGUAAUAAGAUUUAGAAUGAGAUUCAGAAUUCUAAAAAUCCUAUAUCUCAUUUAAUGUAAAUUUUGUUUGGGAGUUUACUGUAGAUUUCACUACAACCCCCAAUUGUGUGGUUCUAAUGCUUGUGAUUGGAUCAUAUCAAAUAUUGUGACCUGAGGCUUGGAUUUGGUCCUUUGGUAAUUAUCAUUUUUUCCCACUCUAUCAUUUGCAAGCAAAAUGAUUCCCUCUUAAAGUUUAUAAUAGAAAAAAAAUAAAAAACUCAUCCCAUUGCUAAUUGUUAUGCUCUAGGACCGACUAUGUGGAUUAAAUUUGGUUAGGAAUUUAUAAUUGAACCAGAUCUGUGAAUUUAGGAUGACAUUUGAUAUUGGUCUAGAAUAUAAUUUGAAAAGUAAAAUUUGUAGCGGUGGUGUUUGUAUUGCUUUUCAUGCAUCAUUUUUGUUAAUGGUUAACAAUUGUGAAAAACUUCUUGGGCAAUGAUUCUGAAACCAUAGAAAGUUUUUGAUGAAUGUUUUACAAUGUUUAAAAACUUGGACUGGUGGUUUGACUCGUACCUGUGGGUGACUGACGGAGGUAAAAUCGAAGCCAAAUACACAUCAAGAGCAGCUGAAUUAUACCGGCAAUUAUUUUCAAAGGAAGUUGCCAAAAGCUUGACAGAUGAUCUCUCUUCUCCUAGAUCACCCCUUGCUUCUCAGGCAAAUCAGACAGUAAAUGGUCUAUCUCAUGUGAAUUUACUGAAACGUUUUAAGAAAAUGAGGUUGCUGAUAAACAUGAGGCACCUAAAGUUACUACCUCACCAAAUGCUCCUUCCCAUCCAGUUACCGGUACCAUAAAAAUGCCCAUUGGUGCAAGAAAGGGAAGUAUGACGGGAGGUCUUGGUGCCCAGAAGCUUACUACAAAGGUCGAAUUGUUCUUUAGCCUACAGUAAUGCAAAAUGUUUCCAUUCCUAAAGAUGACUAUUUAACUUUAAUACUGACUCUUGUCUUGAUUCAUUGCGUAUUUGUAGAUAAUGAAUCUAUAGGAGAAAGCUAGAAUCUUGAAAGCUGUGAUGUUAUGAACAUUUUUUUGUCUAGUGCCUAUUCAAUUUGAUGCAGCCAAGUGAAAGUCUUUAUGAUCAGAAGCCAGAAGAACCGGCUCUUGUUGUUGGUUCAUCCACUAUUUGCCAGCGCAACACCGUUUUUUGGCCCAUUGUUUCCUUCACGCUUUGAAUAUGCUGGGAGCAUGCAAUCUGCGGAGGCCAAUUCUGGUGGUACGCAAUUACUUAACCAUGUUUCUUCGCUUAAAUAAAGCAGCGUAUUUACUGAUUUUGGAAUGGACAGUGGAAUCAAGAAAAAGCCAAGUUCCACUUACCCCACAGUUCAGGUAAUUCUUUAUUGGCUAUUCAGGUUUUGUAGAUUAUGGGGUUCUUCAUACUUUUACUGUGCAUAUUUGCAACUUGGUUACCGGGAUGGUACAUGUCUAUAUAUAGGUUGUUGAAAAAUCUUGGUUUUCUUUCGUCCUCUAUCCCUCCCUCCCUCGCUACACACACAUACACACACAUAUGUCAUUCUACAAGCUCUCUCUCUCUUUCUCUCUCACUCUCUCUCUCUGCACACACAAUUGUCAGUGCACACGCUUUGUCUUUCACUCUCCCUUCUAAUCACUAAAUUUCUCUAUAAGUUGAAGUUAGUUUUGUCUUUCAUCUUGUGUUUAGUAAUUGGUCCAAUGUUUUGUGUAGAGCUCGACAUCCAUAUCUAGUGCUGAUCUUUUUGGGCAUAACAUGGAUGAUCCUAUCCUUGAUAUGUCUGCUUGUGAUCUCAUCAAUCGGAUUUCAUUCCAUGUACUACUUCAUUAGCCAAACUCAUCUUGAUCGAUACCUUACUCGUCAGAAAGCUAGAAUAUUUGAGAAAGCUAAUGAAACAUAGUUCACAUGGAACGAUUUUUUACUUCUUUUCCUUGUUUUUUGAUUCCUUUGCUGAGCACAAGAGAAAGCAUUAUUUGCUAGAGUUAUUAUUAGCCUGUUUCUAUGUUUUACUGCCUUUUAUAUUGUAGAUCUUUCAGCAUUUUCAGAAAAUUCCACAGCCACCAACUUCUAGAUGGUUAUUUUGUAUAUGAAGUUUAAUUGCAGAAACAAUCGGGUGGCUUUUUCCCUCAGCCAUCAUCAUUGAACCUUUUCCCGAGUACUUGGGGUUGGCUAGCUUCUUCACUCAAUGAAUGUUAAUUUCUAUUUUUUCAACAUGCUUACUGCAAUCUUUGAGUUAUCUGGCCCCCCCAAAAACAAAGAUUAGAUGCUAUUGUAAAUAAAUCUAAAGGAUGGUAAUUUGGAAACUACUGUUGUGUUGUAAUUACUUCUGAAUUAUGAAUAUUUAUCUUUCCUUAAGUAUUCGUGCUGUCAAUCUACAUAUUAUUCUCCAUCUAUUUAGCAUUAGCAUGGCUUGAUAUGCUCCUCGUUGUGAAUUUGGUUUUGCUCAAAGGAAUAAUUGUAAAGCUCUGCAAUGCACAAAGGCAAAGCUUCGAACUCCCCCCUUAGGGGGCAGCAAAGCACUCUUUUUGUUUGAGAGUGCUUCGCAAGAGAAAAAAGCCUUGUAUGCGUGUUUGUAAAGUAUAUAUAUUGUUUUCUAAUGCCAUGUCAAUGAAGCCCAACUAAAGUUUUCUAAUGCAAAAUCUAUUUCAUCAGCUUAGUUCUUGGGGGAUCAAAACAAUGCCAGUGAUGCUUCUGCACAAAUCUCCCAGUGAUGCUUCUACCCAAAUCUCCUAGUAAAAGUUCUCAAUGUCCUUUCUCUUUCUCGACCCCUUUUCUCUCUGUGUUUCUGUGUGUUUGUGCAUGUUCGUACAUAUCUCACACACUCAUGCAUACACCCAUAUCUACAUUCUACACAUUCAUAUAGACGUAUUAAAUGGCGUACACCAUUUAGUGAAAACUGUCCGAGCAUGGUCUACUCCACUAUUCAAGUGUGACAGACUUUUGUAACUCCCCUGAUCAACUAAGACUUGUCUAUGACCCUUCCAAAAAAAAACAGUUUUUUCUUGAUCUUAAAGAAAACUCUCCAUUUGGAAUUGGCCUUUGUGGGUUUUUUUUUUGGCUAAAUGAUAUUCUAUUCCCAUGGGAGUAGAAUGUUUAUUAACUUCCUCAGGUACAACCCCACCUAGAAUUAGUUUUAGGCCCGCAAAUUUUGGGUAUGUAACCCCUUCAAUCCAUAGACUAAAAAAAGUCUUUAUUACACCCAACUAAAGCUGGACGGCAAAUUUCAAUUUUUUUUUUCUAGAGGAAUCAUGUAUUAAUUCUUAAGUGUUUCCCAAAUUUUAGAUUUUGUUCGACAUUAUUUCAAUGGACACAAUGACCUCAAAAAAUAUGCCCAUAUGAAUACUCUGCUUGUUUUUCUCUUUUUUAGGCAGCAUUCAAAUGUUUCUAUUAGUGGCAAUACAAUAUAUUGUGGUUUUUUUCCUCUCCAAUUGGAGCUCUAACAAAUUUGUCUGUAGUAGGAACAGAUAUUAAGCAUUUUUUCCCUUGGAUGACUUUGUCACUGCACUUUUUGUUACAAUAAUCCUUGGCAUGUUUCUAGACAAUUGUUUUCGAUGUUUAUAUUCAUGACUGCAGGUUGAGGAAACAAAGGAAGCCCAACAAAAGUUUUCGAAUGCAAAAUGUAUUUCAUCAGCACAGUUCUUUUUUUUUCUUCUGUUAAUGUUAAUUUUGGUUGCAUGUUUUACUCGGAGGCUCGAUUGGAGCAGGAUUACUAUGUUAAAGGAUCACAAAAAAAAUAUCUCAUUUUAUUGUGGCAUUUGCAUUUUUAAGGGUUCCUUUUGAUAUUCAACUUGUUUUGUUAUUCUUUUCCUAUAAUUUUGGUAUUUGAUUAGUGCAGGUUGGAUGCAGUGUAAUGUUAUUGUUGUUGUUGUAAUAAGAUUUAGAAUGAGAUUCAGGAUUCUGAAAAACCUAUGCGUCGCCUUUCAUGUAAAUUUUGAUUGGGAGUUUACUGAAAAUUUCACUACAACCCCCAAUUGGGUGGUUCUAAUGCUUGUGAUUUUGUCUUAUAAAAUAUUGUGAUGUUUUCCUGAGGCUUGGAUUUGGUCUUUGGUUAUUGUCAUUUUUUUCCACUCUGUAAUUUGUAAGCAAAAUGGUCCCCUCUUACAGCUUAUUUUAGAUAAAAAACAAAAAGAACUCGUCCCAUUGCUAAUUGUUAUGCUCUAGGGCAGACUAGGUGGAUUAAAUUUAACCAGAUCUUUUGAGUUUAAAAUGACAUUUGAUAUUGGUCUAGAAUAUAAUUUGAAAAUUCAAAUUUGUAGCCGUGGUGUUUGUAUUGCUUUUCAGGCAUCAUUUUCAUUAAUGGUGACAUUAUCUAUUGUGAAAACGUUUUUGGGCAGAGAUUCUGAAACCUUAGAAAGUUUUUGAUGAAUGUUUUACAAUGUUUAAAAACUUGGAGUGGUGGUUUGACUCGUACCUGUGGGUGACUGACGGAGGUAACAUCGAAGCAAGAUAAACAUCUAGAGCUGCUGAAUUAUACCAGCAAUUAUGUUCAAAGGAAGUUGCCAAAAGCUUGACAGAGGACCCAUCUUCUGCUAGAUCACCGCUUACUUCUCCGGAAAAUCAGACAGUAUAUGGUCUAUCUCAUGUGAAGUUUACUGGUACAUCCAAAAGAAAAUAGGUUGCUGAUAAACAUGAGGCAUCUGAAGUUACUGCCUCACCAAAAGUUCCUUCCCAUCCAGUGACCAGUACCAUAAAAAAGGCCAUUGGUGCAAGAAAGGGAAGUAAGACGGGAUUGGUGCCCAGAAGCUUACUACAAAGCCAAGUGAAAGUCUUUAUUAUCAGGAGUCAGAAGAAGUGGCUCUUGUUGUGAGCAUGCAGAACUGGAUCAUCCACUAAUGCCAGCGCAACACUGUCUAUUGGCUCAUCGUUUCCUUCACGCUUUGAAUAUGUUGAGAGCAUGCUGUCUUCAGAGCCCAAUUCUGGUGGUACACAAUUACUUAACCAUGUUUCUCCACUUAAAUCAAGCAGCUUCUAUGCUGUUCUGGAAUGGACAGUGGAAUCAAGGAAAUGGCAAGUACCACUUACUCCAAAGUUCAGGUUGAGGAAACCAACGAGCCCCAACUAUAGUUUUCUAAUGCAAAAUCUAUUUGAUCAACUCAGUGCUUUGGGGAUCAAAACAAAGCCAGUGAUGCUUCUUCCCAAAUCUCCUUGCAAAAGUUCUCAAGCUCGACAUCCAUAUCUAUUGCUGAUCUUUUUGGACAUAACACGGAUGAUCCUAGCCUUGAUUUGUCUGCAACUGAUCUCAACAAUCGGAUUUCGUUCUAGAUCACCCGUUGCUUCUCAGGCAAAUCGGACAGUAAAUGGUCUAUCUCAUGUGAAUUUUACUGGUACGUCCAAAGAAAAUGAGGUUGCUGAUUAACAUGAGGCACCUAAAGUUACUACCUCACCAAAAGCUCCUUCCCAUCCAGUUACCGGUACCAUAAAAAAGCCCAUUGGUGCAAGAAAGGGAAGUAAGACGGGAGGUCUUGGUGCCCAGAAGCUUACUACAAAGCCAAGUGAAAGUCUUUAUGAUCAGAAGCCAGAAGAACCGGCUCUGGUUGUUAGUUCAUCCACUAUUGCCAGCGCAACACCAUCUUUAGGCUUAUUGUUUCCUUCACCAUCUCAAUGGGCACAAUAACCUGACAAAAUAUGCCCUUAUGAAUGCUUGGGCUAGUUUUUCUUCUUUUUUAGGCAGCAUUCAAAUCUUGCAUCUUGGAGAUAGCAUCAGAGCUCGACAUCCAUAUCUAUUGCUGAUCUCUUUGGACAUAACACGGAUGAUCCUAGCCUUGAUUUGUCUGGAACUGAUCUCAUCAAUCGGAUUUCGUUCUAGGUACUUCUUCAUUAGCCAAACUCAUCCCGAUGGAUACCUUACUCGUCAUAAAGCUAGAAAUUUUGAGAAAGCUAAUGAUUCAU